AACGAACGCUGGCGGCAGGCUUAACACAUGCAAGUCGAACGCCCCGCAAGGGGAGUGGCGCACGGGUGAGUAACGCGUGGGAAUAUGCCCUUCGGUUCGGAAUAACACAGGGAAACUUGUGCUAAUACCGGAUACGAUCUACGGAUGAAAGAUUUAUCGCCGAGGGAGUAGCCCGCGUAGGAUUAGCUAGUUGGUGAGGUAAUGGCUCACCAAGGCGACGAUCCUUAGCUGGUCUGAGAGGAUGAUCAGCCACACUGGGACUGAGACACGGCCCAGACUCCGACGGGAGGCAGCAGUGGGGAAUAUUGGACAAUGGGCGAAAGCCUGAUCCAGCCAUGCCGCGUGAGUGAUGAAGGCCUUAGGGUUGUAAAGCUCUUUCGCCAGGGAAGAUAAUGACGGUACCUGGAAAAGAAGCCUCGGCUAACUCCGUGCCAGCCGCCGCGGUAAAAC
rnacentral:rRNA from 1 species